GAACCACCCUACCGGUAUCACCUUAGGAGCCACCGAGGCCAAUGACUCACAGGCUGUCCAUCCUCACGGGCACAGGAUGGCACGUGAGUCACUGGAAGUACAACUCAGAUUUGUUGGGGGAACGGCAACAACGUCUUUGUCUUGCUCCUCACAGUGCCGUUGUGUGGAAACUGAGCCAGGAGCAUGAUGAGCUGGGGGCUCAGAUGAACAUCUCAGAUCAACCAUGAACUCCUUCUGUGGCUUUGCAGGUAGUUUUCCCUUUGUACAGGUAUGUGCAGACUCUCUCAAUAAGCCAAGCAGGCAUCAAGCUGAGAGAACAUUUGACCAAGCCAGGCUCAUGGAGCUAGGAUAUCAGUCCUUCCUGCCUCAGAGUUUGCAACUCUGUUUUUUUACUGUAUAUAAGGACACCCAAUUGUUGGAUGGAUUUAGAUGAGUAGGAGAGGAUAUUUUAUUUAGUAAUUAUACUUCCUCUUUCUCACUU